GAGCAGCCCAGGGAGAGUCUCUGCGUCCUCCAGCCCCCGCUUCCCUUCAUGUCGGAGAUCCUAAGCCCGCAGCGAAGUCCGCAAAGAGCUUUCCCCGACGCCUACGAGACCCGAAGUGCCUGGGCCCAGGUGGAGGAAGGACCCGCGUGGCCUCCUCUGCGCUCUCCCUGGGGAGCACCCUUGAAGGAGAAUUAGACAAACUGGAGUCUACUCGGAAGAGGCUGUUGGGAAUGGCCCUGGCACCACAUCCUGAGCAGGGAUGGCUGAUGGAACGGGGAGAAGACUCAGGUGGGGCUUGAGUGUGUCCUCUGAUGACUGAAGAGCCUUGGGAGCAAGCAUCCUUCCUGCUACUGUGUGUUUGCUGGUUCCAAUGAUACAUAAUUUGUGCUUUUCGUAAUUAAAGUAUUAUCCUGUA
rnacentral:lncRNA from 1 species